UGGUGGGUUGCCUUGUCAGGUUGAUUCCGGUAACGAACGAGACCUCAGCCUGCUAAAUAGUCAAAGCUACUUUUGUAGCUUCCAGACUUCUUAGAGGGACUAUUGUCGUUUAGGCAAUGGAAGUGUGAGGCAAUAACA
rnacentral:rRNA from 1 species